rnacentral:rRNA from 1 species
GACGAACGCUGGCGGCGUGCUUAACACAUGCAAGUCGAACGGAAAGGCCCUGCUUUUGUGGGGUGCUCGAGUGGCGAACGGGUGAGUAACACGUGAGUAACCUGCCCUUGACUUUGGGAUAACUUCAGGAAACUGGGGCUAAUACCGGAUAGGAGCGCCUGCUGCAUGGUGGGGGUUGGAAAGUUUCGGCGGUUGGGGAUGGACUCGCGGCUUAUCAGCUGGUUGGUGGGGUAGUGGCUUACCAAGGCUUUGACGGGUAGCCGGCCUGAGAGGGUGACCGGGCACAUUGGGACUGAGGGACGGCCCAGAGUCCUACGGGAGGCAGCAGGGGGGAAUAUUGCACAGUGGGCGGAAGCCUGAUGCAGCAACGCCGCGUGCGGGAUGACGGCCUUCGGGUUGUAAACCGCUUACGCCUGUGACGAAGCGUGAGUGACGGUACUGGGUAAAGAAGCACCGGCUAACUACGUG